AUUGAACGCUGGCGGCAGGCUUAACACAUGCAAGUCGAGCGGGGUGAUGGUGCUUGCACUAUCACUUAGCGGCGGACGGGUGAGUAAUGCUUAGGAAUCUGCCUAUUAGUGGGGGACAACAUCUCGAAAGGGAUGCUAAUACCGCAUACGUCCUACGGGAGAAAGCAGGGGAUCACUUGUGACCUUGCGCUAAUAGAUGAGCCUAAGUCGGAUUAGCUAGUUGGUGGGGUAAAGGCCUACCAAGGCGACGAUCUGUAGCGGGUCUGAGAGGAUGAUCCGCCACAAUGGGACUGGAACACUGCCCAGACUCCUACGGGAGGCAGCAGUGGGGAAUAUUGGACAAUGGGGGGAACCCUGAUCCAGCCAUGCCGCGUGUGUGAAGAAGGCCUUAUGGUUGUAAAGCACUUUAAGCGAGGAGGAGGCUCUUUUGGUUAAUACCCAAGAUGAGUGGACGUUACUUGCAGAAUAAGCACCGGCUAACUCUGUGCCAGCCGCCGCGGUAA
rnacentral:rRNA from 1 species